GAUGAACGCUAGCGACAGGCUUAACACAUGCAAGUCGAGGGGCAGCAUUGUAAUUAGCUUGCUAAUUACAGAUGGCGACCGGCGCACGGGUGAGUAACGCGUAUGGAACCUGCCCUUUACAGGGGGAUAGCCCAUGGAAACGUGGAUUAAAAUCCCAUAAUACUUUGUUCAGGCAUCUGGAUGGAGUUAAAUCUACGGAGGUAAAGGAUGGCCAUGCGUCCUAUUAGCUGGUUGGCGGGGUAACGGCCCACCAAGGCGAUGAUAGGUAGGGGUUCUGAGAGGAAGGUCCCCCACAUUGGAACUGAGACACGGUCCAAACUCCUACGGGAGGCAGCAGUGAGGAAUAUUGGUCAAUGGACGAAAGUCUGAACCAGCCAAGUAGCGUGCAGGAUGACGGCCCUCUGGGUUGUAAACUGCUUUUAGUUGGGAAUAAAAAGAGGGACGUGUCCCUUAUUGUAUGUACCAUCAGAAAAAGGACCGGCUAAUUCCGUGCCAGCAGCCGCGGUAAUACGGAAGGUCCAGGCGUUAUCCGGAUUUAUUGGGUUUAAAGGGAGCGCAGGCGGCGGCGUAAGUCAGUUGUGAAAUCGUGCGGCUUAACCGUGCAAUUGCAGUUGAUACUGCGUCGCUUGAGUGCACACAGGGAUGUUGGAAUUCAUGGUGUAGCGGUGAAAUGCUUAGAUAUCAUGAAGAACUCCGAUCGCGAAGGCAUAUGUCCGGAGUGCAACUGACGCUGAGGCUCGAAAGUGUGGGUAUCAAACAGG
rnacentral:rRNA from 1 species